rnacentral:rRNA from 1 species
CCUACGGGGGGCUGCAGUGGGGAAUAUUGGACAAUGGGGGGAACCCUGAUCCAGCCAUGCCGCGUGUGUGAAGAAGGCCCUCGGGUUGUAAAGCACUUUCAGUGAGGAAGAACGCCUGGUGGUUAAUACCCAUCAGGAAAGACAUCACUCACAGAAGAAGCACCGGCUAACUCCGUGCCAGCAGCCGCGGUAAUACGGAGGUUUCGAGCGUUAAUCGGAAUUACUGGGCGUAAAGCGCGCGUAGGUGGCUUGAUAAGCCGGUUGUGAAAGCCCCGGGCUCAACCUGGGAACGGCAUCCGGAACUGUCAAGCUAGAGUGCAGGAGAGGAAGGUAGAAUUCCCGGUGUAGCGGUGAAAUGCGUAGAGAUCGGGAGGAAUACCAGUGGCGAAGGCGGCCUUCUGGACUGACACUGACACUGAGGUGCGAAAGCGUGGGUAGCAAACAGGAUUAGAUACCCUUGUAGUC